rnacentral:tRNA from 1 species
GCAAUAGUAGCUCAGCGCCAG